UGGGGAAUUUUGGACAAUGGGCGAAAGCCUGAUCCAGCAAUGCCGCGUGUGUGAAGAAGGCCUUCGGGUUGUAAAGCACUUUUGUCCGGAAAGAAAUCCUUGGCUCUAAUACAGUCGGGGGAUGACGGUACCGGAAGAAUAAGCACCGGCUAACUACGUGCCAGCAGCCGCGGUAAUACGUAGGGUGCAAGCGUUAAUCGGAAUUACUGGGCGUAAAGCGUGCGCAGGCGGUUUGCUAAGACCGAUGUGAAAUCCCCGGGCUCAACCUGGGAACUGCAUUGGUGACUGGCAGGCUAGAGUAUGGCAGAGGGGGGUAGAAUUCCACGUGUAGCAGUGAAAUGCGUAGAGAUGUGGAGGAAUACCGAUGGCGAAGGCAGCCCCCUGGGCCAAUACUGACGCUCAUGCACGAAAGCGUGGGGGAGCAAACAGGAUUAGAUACCCUGGUAGUCCACGCCCUAAACGAUGUCAACAGUUGUUGGGGAUUCAUUCCUUAGUAACGUAGCUAACGCGUGAAGUUGACCGCCUGGGGGAGUACGGUCGCAAGAUUAAAACUCAAAUGAAUUGACGGGGUCAU
rnacentral:rRNA from 1 species